CCUCGUGUGAUGAGGCAGGGCGGACAGAAAAGGUGCUGCACCCGUUGCCGCAAAACGGGGCACACAAAAUGACACUGCAAGCCGACCGGUCCUUUGUUUCCAAAGCUGAAGAGAGCAAAGAUUUUGAGGCGACAAAUUUAGGGUCAGAGGGGUCAUUGCCAACGGAAGGGGUUAGAUUUGAACACGGCAAGAAGGGUGUUCCUGGACCCAAUAAUUUGGCUACGCAGGUUUGCUUAGAGGCAUCAGGUUCGAAGAUUUGAUUACAACAUGAAAUUUAUGCUGCAACUGGACGUAAUGAGACUAUGGAAUGGGAGAAGAACAUGAUAAGUAACACC